AACAACUUACCUCGACCCCUAUCGCGGCGAAGAGCGGACCAGCCACAUCGCUGUCUGAAUUACCUCCCCACGGGAUAACAGAGGGAAAUGUAGGCCGAAAGGUUGCCUUAUCGCUCCUACGACGGAGUGCAGGUCAGGUUUCGGCUACCCUAAGA